rfam:Proteiniclasticum ruminis strain ML2 genome assembly, contig: Ga0073291_104
GCGGGUGUAGUUCAAUGGUAGAAUUCCAGCCUUCCAAGCUGGUCGUGAGGGUUCGAUUCCCUUCACCCGCU